rnacentral:rRNA from 1 species
AGAGUUUGAUCAUGGCUCAGGACGAACGCUGGCGGCGUGCUUAACACAUGCAAGUCGAGCGGGGAUGUUUGGAGUGCUUGCACACUGAACAUUCCAGCGGCGGACGGGUGAGUAACGCGUGAACAAUCUGUCCCAUACAGGGGGAUAACAGAUGGAAACAUCUGCUAAUACCGCAUAAGACCACGACAUCACAUGAUGAUGAGGUAAAAGGAGCAAUCCGGUAUGGGGUGAGUUCGCGUCCGAUUAGCUAGUUGGCGGGGUAACGGCCCACCAAGGCGACGAUCGGUAGCCGACCUGAGAGGGUGAUCGGCCACACUGGAACUGAGAGACGGUCCAG